rnacentral:rRNA from 1 species
UACGUAGGGUGCGAGCGUUAAUCGGAAUUACUGGGCGUAAAGCGUGCGCAGGCGGUUUCACAAGCUCGAUGUGAAAGCCCCGGGCUUAACCUGGGAAUGGCAUUGAGGACUGUGGAGCUCGAGUGCGGCAGAGGGAGGUGGAAUUCCACGUGUAGCAGUGAAAUGCGUAGAGAUGUGGAGGAACACCGAUGGCGAAGGCAGCCUCCUGGGCCGACACUGACGCUCAUGCACGAAGACGUGGGGAGCAAACAGG